rnacentral:rRNA from 1 species
UUAAGAUGAGAGUUUGAUCCUGGCUCAGGACGAACGCUGGCGGCGUGCCUAAUACAUGCAAGUCGAACGAGCUCUCCCAAAUUGA